GACCAGGUCAGUAAAUGUUUGAAUAGGUAUUCCAGAUCUGUCUGGCUCCCAAAUUCAGUUACCUCUAUUUGUACAUUUAGGGUUCCUCAUACCCCUGCCCCCCGGCAGGUCUCUAAGCUUACUUUUCUUCCCUAAACACAUUAGAACAUACAUAAGUUUGGUAUUUCUUCCUGGGGAUUUUCCCCAUAAGUGAAUCUGGGUACAUAGGCUUGAAGAUGAAUGGCUUGUGACCUAUAUUUCUGGUUGGUUUUAGCAGGAAGAGUAGUCAGGCUUUGUACCUAGGCUGCAUUCCCAGGAUGACCUUGGGCAGGGUGGCCAACCUCUCCAGGGCAGUCACUUCUGAAAAGGUGACGUGUUUUGUUUGUAAGGCGAUAUAUAGAAUGAGAAGCCAAGCACAGCACCUAGCCUUUACACAGGUAAAAUGUUCUUUGCCUCCAGAGGAGAGGACUUCCGGUUAGUUCCAAGUCCUGUGAGCGCCCUGAUGGCGGUACUCCAAAAACAGGCCUGGAGCUCAGGUGGCCUUAGAGGGUACUUUGCCUCUCCUUUUAGUAAGGGUGGCCUUUUAAAUGUGCAGUUACUCAAAAGGAAGGAAUGAUUUAAAGUUUAGUGUUAACUACCUAUUUAUAUUAUUACUUACUAAAAUCUUGAGCUUGUUUCAUGUUUCAAGCUGGGAGCUUGGUGGUGGAAAGAUUCUGAGCUGACUUGACUUGCCCAAGCUACUGUUGAGUCUAGAAAGCCUUAGAUUGAAGGAUAGUCUGUUUGUCAUCAUGGAGAUUGAAGGAUAGUCUGUUUGUCAUCAGGAGUUCUGUUUGUCGUCAUGGGGAUUAGAUGAAAAAGAUCCAGAGUUAGAAUGGGGCCCAGGUGUGGAAGAGACCUGGAUGGGAGAGGAUGCUAUGGUGCAAGUCAGACCUCACUCAUUUGCUAACUCUAUUAAAACCUUGCUCUCGCUCAGAUCAUCUCAGAGGUGGUCUUUGUACGUUUCUAGCCCUGGUUCAGACUGUUCCAUAGAAAUCGGAGACACUUGGGUUUAGUUCCAGAAAUCAUUUUGAUGACUAACUGCAGUACAGGGAACUAAUCCCAUUGGGCCUGGAUUUGACUCUGUGUAAAGUUAUUCAGUUCACACAGGGUGUGGUGUUAAAGAGUGGGUUAACUGGUGGGUGAACCAUUGCUGUCACUGACAUUUGGCUUUAAGAUGCCUCCUUGCUCAAGUUCAAGUUCCUUCCAUGUUGUUUCAACAUCAGUUUAAAAAAGACAGUGGGCUACUAUGUUUACUGAAAGGGCCUUAGCAAGUGCAGGCAAUCUGGCCUUUGAUAUGAUACUGGAGAAUUCUCCCCUUGCCAAAAGGGAAAGGAGUUUUUUAAUUUGAUGUGUUUUGUUUUGUUUUGAGAUAAUGUGUCGUGCGUUUAAGAAGAAGACAUAGUAUUCAGUGAGGGUUGAAGUCAAGCAGUUUUAGUCUGGAAACCCCUGUGCGUGUGUGUGUUUGGCUGGCUGACUGUGGUGUUAUGCAAUUAAAAUCCUUUUGUGAAAGGUGUGGUCAUUUAAAAAUGUAUAUUGUCAUUCUGUAGUCUUUCCUAUUGCCCAGCAUUUACUGAGCACAGUAAAUAGCCAGGCAUUCUGAUUUUCAGAAGCUAGUGAUAGGAGCAGAUGAUACAAAGAUGAAUCACAUAAUAUCUCAAGGAGUUUCUAGCCUAAUAGAAUUGUAUUAUUAGUCAGUUUGAGGCAUGUAAUCCCAGGCAAUCAGAUUGAGGCACAGUUCCGUCACUUGAGGAGUUAAUAGGCUCCAUAUCUGGCUUCUCUCAUGUCUAACAAAGUCUUUCUGGCAUAUAUGGUGAUCCUUAGUCUCUUAAAUCAUUAAGGUGCUUGACUGGAUUCUUGGAUCUGGAGAGACUGAGUGUAUGUAGGGCCUUAGAAGAAAAAGACAUUCAUUUGAAAUCGUAUUCAGGGAUAUAAGGUUACGUAGACAUCAUUACCUAGGAAAAAAAAAGUAAGGCAGAUUCCUAAUUUGUCAUAAAAUGGUUCCCUGCUUCCUCUGGUAUUUUGGAAAGCUGUGAUUUUAGGCAGUAUAGACCAGUUGGAUUUUCUUUCUCCUUUGAGCACAGGUUCUGUUGCUUUUGUUAUUUUUGUCACAACAUUGGCCUGUGUCUUCCUGGUAACCUUGAGAUCUGUACAUUUGAGAAGAAAUUUGAGUAUUGAUGCUUGGUUCCUGUCUCUCCUUUUCUAUCACUUUUUAUUUCUUCCACUGAUAAAGUUAAAUACAUAGAAACAAACGUUGACAGUCACACAAAUACUUAGGUUAAGUUCUUUUAAACAGAUGGUACAGUAUGAAAGAAGCUUCUUGGCAGUUUCAGUUGCAGAGAAUAGAUUAGAACUGGCUUGUGGGGGGAUUUAUAUCCAGUCUUUGAGAAUCCCUUUAAUUGAAACUCUUCCGAAGGCUGGAAUUUUUUUAAUUAUAGCCUUUGUUCAGACCAGCCUCUGAGAAGAAAAACAAUCAAGGCAAUUAAGAUAGCAUUAAAUUUUUGAUGAAAAGUUGGC
rnacentral:lncRNA from 1 species